UACGUAGGGUGCAAGCGUUAAUCGGAAUUACUGGGCGUAAAGCGCACGCAGGCGGUUGGAUAAGUUAGAUGUGAAAGCCCCGGGCUCAACCUGGGAAUGGCCGUUGAAACUGGCGAACUGGAGUGUGGCAGAGGGGGGUGGAAUUCCGCGUGUAGCAGUGAAAUGCGUAGAGAUGCGGAGGAACACCGAUGGCGAAGGCAGCCCCCUGGGCUGACACUGACGCCUCAGGCACGAAAGCGUGGGGAGCAAACAGG
rnacentral:rRNA from 1 species